GAAGGUAAAUUCAACUCUAAGGAUGCAUUGGUGGAAUCUCUCUGCAAGUAACCCUGAGGAAAGGAGAAGAAGGGAAGGGAAAAUCACACAAGAAGCCUGGAAAGUGAGGAGGUAGUCUCAGAUCAGAUGCACUGUGGAGCCUAUGUCUAGAAGUGACUCUCCAGGGGAGCUAAAAUCCAUGUAUUUGGGCACACACUUGAACAAUAUUGCUAGAGAAAUUUAAGCAAGAGCACAAAGGUUAAUGACAUCUCUUGUGGGGACCACUGUGAGAAUAAAACAAGGCACUACGUUGUCUGGGAUGAUGGAAGGAGCUAAAGUCUUCAGUGAAUGAAGGAGCAGGACCAGGAGCUCAAAAUACUUCUUUGAAGACAAAGAAGAAAUGAUAUUACCAAAUGGUUGGCUCAAAAGAACAGGGAUUUUGCAACAGAGAGAGUAUGUCAUGGUCUUGAACAAGCAAUGAAAGAAUCAUCUGAAAGGAAUGUGGAGAUCAGAGAAAAAUGAUGGGAAAGUUACCACAGCCUGCAAAUGAGAAAUGAUGAGAGCCUGCCUGGGUUUUGCCAGGACGAUUAAAUAUCAUUGAUGCUUCUGGUCUACAAUUAGUCAGAGAAGAGAUUAAAAAAAUGAUGAGUAUUCAAGAAGGAAAGUGUUUGCUUUAACAUAUGAAGAAAAGGAGCUUCAGAGUGGUGAUUAACCCCAGAAUUGUGUGGAACGGAUAUGGAAACAAGACCACAGGAGCAUCGAGAACUGAGCAGAACUGAAGGUGACAUGAAAAUCAGCUGCAAGAUUCACCUCAGGGUGAUAAUGGGCUGCAGGUGGCUGCAGGAAUCCCGGGACAUUCUAGGCACUGCCAUAUUUUCUUAGGGGCCAGUAAGGAUGGCUAUCAUCAGAUGUACCUGAUGAUACAAACAUGGGCUGUCUUGCCUUCUAGUAUUCAUUCUUGAUGAUUGCAUCCAGAGCUCACUUUGGAGGUGCAGAUCAACUCUUCUUCAGGCUCAUCCAUGCGACUUGAGUGGGCUCUCAUCCCCAUUCCCAGGGGCUUAUGACAAUCAAGGUUUCCACUCCUCCAUGGUCUCAAUGGUUUUUCUCCCCAUGGGAAGCACAUAAUCCCAUUAGAGGCCACGGGAAGCUUUUUUGUUGGGCUUUGAGGGAAAAAAGGCUUUUGCAGCCAAUGAAUCGAUCAAUGUGUACUUCAACCUGGAUUGUAUGUAUGCAUCUCCUAGAUUGGGCGGAUGAUGAAGUGAGGCUGGAAGUGCUGAGCAUCUUCCUACCUGGGAUGACUGGGCUGAGCAGGAAGCCUACCCCGGGGUUCCAGCCAAGUUGGAGCCUGUGAGUGUGUGGUGUAGUUUAACGCCCUGAUUAAAUCACUAGGAAGCCAUUUCUCUCUCUCCUCCCAGACCAGAUCAGACAAUAUGUUCCCUUAUUUCUACUAAAGCCCCAAUUGGAUUUUGUGUCUUUUGAUACUGAAAGAAUCUUACCACAAAUAAAAUAAUUUGUCAUGUGGCUCCUACAUAUUUAUUCAGUUACAUAAACUAACUAAAUAAAUGAAUAAACUGUCAAUAAUGGUAGUUCCUCAUCUAUGAAUGACUCUUUACAAAGCCUAUCUCGCUUAAUAGUCAUAAUAAAUACUGAAGUAGAUACUAUUUAUACCUUUUUUUUAAAAGGAAUUAAAUAUUUUCAGGGUUAUACAAAGCAUGAGUAUUGUGGGUACAAAUUCAAGCUUUCUAACUCAAAUUUGAAGACUUAUCCCCAGGAUACUUUUACAUCUUUAGCUAGUACCAUGUAUACCUCAAAAGCUUACAUUAUUUUUCACAUGUGUUAGGUUUUGAGGGAUAAUCAAUAAGGAGGGCAUACUUUCAGGCUUCUUAUUUAUAACUGUGAAAUUUAGAAAUUGAUGGAGUAGCAGAUUUCUCGGUAGGAGACAGCUGUUUUAAAAUGCCCCAUGUUUUUAUUAAAGUAAAAAUCUCAAAAAUUGUCUUUUAAAAAGUGGCUCUGGCCAAUCUUAGAUAAAACAUCAUUUACUAGACUUAGGAAUUUCCUGUAGUAAAUUUCAGAUUUACUUUUCGGUCUCACAUCAUCAAAGAGAUCAUAACCCUUUGUGCAAUUAUGGUCUUGAACCAAGGCCUAUUCUCUAGGUCACUGCUGUCAGGACUUCAAGAUAAUUGUUUCCAUUGCAGGAUUUGAUUUUUAAUUCCCCGGAUGUUCUUGACGUGGUUCAGUUCUUCAGGAAAUCAUCACCCUCAUGAGCCCUCCCUGCCACUUGCAGAUAGGGCUUUCUCCCGGUAAGUUCUGGAGUCACGGCAGAGCUCAAUAAGUCUGAUUGGGACCUCCUAUGAUUAU
rnacentral:lncRNA from 10 species